rnacentral:rRNA from 1 species
UCCACGCCCUAAACGAUGAACACUAGUCGUCGGAAUGCUAGCCAUUUCGGUGAUGCGCUUAACAGAUUAAGUGUUCCGCCUGGGGAGUACGGUCGCAAGAUUAAAACUCAAAGGAAUAGACGGGGACCCGCGGUCUUGUACUCACCGCCCGUCACACCAUGGGAGUUGAUUUCACCCGAAAUUGGGAAGCUAACCUUCGGGGGCGUACCACUUACGGUGGAAUUAGCGACUGGGGUGAAGUCGUAACAAGG